UGCUCCCCCUUCACCUUCCACCAUGACUGGAAGCUUCCUGAGGCCCUCACCAGAAGCAGAUGCUGGCGCCAUGCUUCUCACACAGCCUGCAAAACUAUUUGCAAGAGAGAAUGAUACUGCACAUUUGAUUGCUCGAAGUGUCAAAUGAGAUCAUCUAUCAAGUACUGAGGACAUUGUUGAGCACACUGGUCUUCUGUUGCCUAGGCUAGAGUGCAGUGACAUCAUC